UACGUAGGGGGCAAGCGUUGUCCGGAAUCAUUGGCGUAAAGCGCGCGUAGGCGGCCCGGUAAGUCCGCUGUAAAAGUCCAGGGCUCAACCCUGGAAAGCCCGGUGGAUACUGGUCGGGCUAGAGUCCGGAAGAGGCGAGUGGAAUUCCUGGUGAGCGGUGGAAUGCGCGAUAUCAAGGAGGAACACCGGUGGCGAAGGCGGGAUCUCUGGGCCGUAACUGGACGCUGGAGGAGCGAAAG
rnacentral:rRNA from 1 species